GGACUACCGGGGUAUCUAAUCCUGUUUGAUCCCCACGCUUUCGUGCCUCAGCGUCAGUUACAGUUUAGUGAGCUGCCUUCGCAAUCGGUGUUCUAUGUCAUCUCUAAGUAUUUCACCACUACAUGACAUAUUCCGCCCACUUCAAAUGUACUCAAGAUCAUCAGUAUCAAUGGCAAUUUUACAGUUAAGCUGCAAGAUUUCACCACUGACUUAAUAAUCCGCCUACGCACCCUUUAAACCCAAUAAAUCCGGAUAACGCUUGGAUCCUUCGUAUUACCGCGGCUGCUGGCAC
rnacentral:rRNA from 1 species